GAGAAAUCGUCUCACACUCACUCGUCACGCUCGUCUCACACUCACUGACUCUCAUCGCCGCUUCUCCAGUCUCCAUCGAUCGCCGCUUCUCCAGUGUCCACCGGCCGCCGCUUGCUCUGGUUGCCUCACGUAUUGAUAUUUUCUUUAAUGGAAUCAAUUAUGUCGAAUGACAUCAAGCCAUGAGGAGUUUCUUGAAAGGCCGCAAAUUAUGGCAUUAUAUUACUAGUGGUAUCAAAAAACCCGAAUAAAGGGAGCACGAAACUAAUGAAAAAUUUCAAGAUCACAUCGAGGAUUGGGACAGCAAAAACCAUCACUUGAUUACUUGGUUUUGUAAUACCUCUGUACCAAAUCUCCGUCAGGAAUUUGGUAACUAUGACCUAGCUAAAGAUGUUUGGGACUUCUCAGGCAGUCGUUAUGUUACUAGUGGACUUGUUUACCAACAUUAAUUUUGGAGCAUGCUUGAUAGUAUGAAGCAAGAAUUUGGACAGUCGGUUCGUGACUAUUAUGCUAAAAUGUCUUAUGUAUGAUGAUUUAUUUAUUUAUUUAAUUUUUAAGUUAAAUAAAUUUUGUUUUAUGUA